rnacentral:rRNA from 1 species
AGCCCAAAUUAUGUUGUUGUGUGUGGUAAAGCGAAUGAUUAGCAUACUCGGGGGCAUUAAGUCUUCGGAUGAUUCUCAAACUUUAAAUGCGCACGGAUAUUGCCGCUUAAUUGGGCGAUAUCGUUAAAAACUUGGGCUUUGUGGGCCAUUUUUGGUAAGCAGAACUGGCGAUACGGGAUGAACCGUAAGCGUGGUUAAGGCGUCAAAGUGUCCGCUUAAAGAUCCCAAAAAAGGUGUUGAUUCAUCGAGACAGCAGGACGGUGGCCAUGGAAGUCGGAAUCCGCUAAGGAGUGUGUAACAACUCACCUGCCGAAUGAAUUAGCCCUGAAAAUGGAUGGCGCUAAAGCGGGCCGCCGACACCACGUCGUUUAUGCAAAGAAAUACAUAAUUAAGCUUAAAUGAGUAGGAGGAACGUGGUGGUUGUACCGAAGCGUGCGUGCAAACGUGCGUGGAACGGCCACUAGUGCAGAUCUUGGUGUAAGUAGCAAAUAUUCAAGCGAGAACCUUGAAGGGCGAAGCGGGGAAGGGUUCCACGCGAACAUUGAUUGGGCGUGGGUGAGUCGUUCCUAAGCCGCGUGGCAAUAGCUAAUUACCGGCGAAAGGGAAGCAGGUUGACAUUCCUGCACACGGAUGUGGUUAGCGGUGACGCAUAUAUGUAAAUUGAGGAGGCGGUGAAGCUGGCGGUGGCUCUGGGCAGAGUUUUCUUUUCUGUUUAACUGACUUGAAUUCCGUCGUGUGGAAUCCGCUUGUCGGGAGAAACACACGGGUUUAGGAAUAGCGCCGGGACUUUUUCCGGGCGUCCAGAUCGCCAUCGUCGGACCUUGAAAAACUGCCUGCAGGCGCAAGCCUAUAAAUCUAGUGAUACGAUUUGAAAAUCCACGCCGUGACGUACCGAUAUCCGCAUCAGGUCCCCAAGGUGAACAGCCUCUGCUCGAUAUGAAAGAAUGCAGGUAAGGGAAGUCGGCAAAUUAGACCCGUAACUUUGGGAAAAGGGUUGGCUCUAGUGCUGCGUGGAAUCAGGGUUUUAAAUGCACUUUUCUGCGAGAAGGUUACAUCGUCAUUUAGGAGCAUACCACUUCGGUGGUGUGUUCCUGGGAGGGGACGUGCCGAUAGUCGUUUAAGUUUAGUGCAUUUAAAACUCGGCCCACAGUAUGCAGCAAACUAGAACUGCAACGGACAAAGGGAAUCCGACUGUUUAAUUAAAACAAAGCAUUGCGAAGGCCAUGGGUUGGUGUUGACGCAAUGUGAUCGCCCCCCCCCCCCAGGGGGGGGAAA